CAAUAGCGUAUAUUAAAGUUGUUGCAGUUAGAACGCUCGUAGUCGGAUUUCGGGGCGGGCCGACCGGUCUGCCGAUGGGUACGCACUGGUCGGCGCGUCCUUCCUUCCGGAGACCGUUCCUACUCUUAACUGAGCGGGGGCGGGAGACGGAUCGUUUACUUUGAAAAAAUCAGAGUGUUUCAAGCAGGCAGCUCGCUCUUGCAUGGAUUAGCAUGGGAUAAUGAAAUAGGACUUUGGUGCUAUUUUGUUGGUUUCGAACACCGAAGUAAUGAUUAAAAGGGACAGUCAGGGGCACUCGUAUUCCGCCGAGAGAGGUGAAAUUCUCAGACCAGCGGAAGACGAACUACUGCGAAAGCAUUUGCCAGGGAUGUUUUCACUGA
rnacentral:rRNA from 1 species